UAAGGAAUAUUGGUCAAUGGACGAGAGUCUGAACCAGCCAAGUCGCGUGAAGGAUGAAGGUUCUAUGGAUCGUAAACUUCUUUUAUAUGGGAAUAAAAAGUAGCACGUGUGCUAUAUUGUAUGUACCAUAUGAAUAAGCAUCGGCUAACUCCGUG
rnacentral:rRNA from 1 species